GCUGCUUAACUCCAAAUUCUAUUGAAUAACAGUUUGCGAAAUCAGCACAUCUCAGAGCUCUCCGCAAGAGCCAGCCUGCGGAUGUUGGAUAUACAGCCAGCAGCAGCUUCUUGGAGAUCCUGAUCCGGGGAUCCAACCAUAUCCAGUAGAAGCUGCCACACAUGCAGGAGGGGGGAAGAAAAAGGGAAUAAGAAAAAACAGAUAUUUGGAUGAAUGCUUUCUGUCCUUUAGAUUGUAACCUCUGGCAGAAUCUUAUACGGAUGCACAGUAGAUGUCAAAUGUCAGGAUCUCCUGUUGCCCUGCAGCUCUGGAUGCGGCAGAGUGGCACCCAACGUGGGGCUGGAAGAGGUCUGCUAUGAGCAGAGAAAGUGAAACUACAGAUGACAGACAGUAGCCUUGCAGGAGACAGUAGCCUUGCACUCGACAGAGUUGCAAUGACUCAUGUUGAUCCAGAGAAACCAAAUGAACGCCCUGCAAUCAAAAUUUACUAUGACUGUUCUUAUGCAGCAAAUAAAUAAAAAGGGGGAGGUGUUGGAGACCACUGAACUGCUGAA